rnacentral:rRNA from 1 species
UGCGUAGGUGGUAUCGUGUGUCGGAUGUGAAAGCCCAUGGCUCAACUGUGGAACUGCAUUCGAAACUGCGGAACUAGAGUACAGGAGGGGAGAGCGGAAUUCUUGGUGUAGCGGUGAAAUGCGUUGAUAUCAAGAAGAACACCGGUGGCGAAGGCGGCUCUCUGGAAUGUUACUGACACUGAGGCACGAAAGCUGGGGGAGCGAACAGGAUUAGAUACCCUGGUAGUCC